ACGGAAUCUGUUGGCGCCAUGCAAAUGGCAACAAUAAUAAUAAUAUUACACAAUUAUAGCUCCAUAACCUGCCUGACAACGUCUAUGUAUGGAACAAUGUACACAAUACUACACAAUUAAAAUAUUUUCUCUCUAACUCUUAUCAGUAGCUCCGAAAUGCAGAAAUGUAGGCAAGCGGGGAGUAGGGGUGGGAGAAAGUGUGACAGUGCAAAAAGGGGAGAGAGAGAAACUGCAGGCAUGAAGAUUAACCAUGUGAGCUCCGUAAAGUAACAAGACAGAAGGACAGAGAUUUAUACGUUUGGAAACCAGAAAUCUUUGCUAACUUUUUCAUUUUCAGCAUAGCUUCUUCCCCUGCCCUCUCUUUAACAAUAUCACAAGCCAAAUACCCCUUAGCUGGUCUAGUAUGUGCUUGCCCCUUUUUGACCAAGCGAGGUCUGCCAAGUAAAGGAGACCAAGUGAGAGGGAAGAAGAAGUAGGAAAGUCUACAGUGCUCGACUGACUAGUCACGAUGGUCUGUGCACCCGGGGGAGGUGGCCACAGACCGGAGAGGGCGAGCGUGGGUGACUAACACAGCUCUGGGCAACAAACACAGGAGAGAUAAAGGACAAAUGAAAAGAUGAAAGUGGUUACACCAACAAGAAGACAUUUGCAAAAAUCACAAACAUAGAGAUGAGUGUAAACCCCAGAAUCCAGAACUAGCCACACUAUAUACAUACACACACACACACACACCAAGGGUACCCACACUGUAACAACAAUUAAACAAAAAACCACAG